rnacentral:rRNA from 1 species
GGCGGACGGGUGAGUAACGCGUAAAGAACUUGCCCUUUAGACUGGGAUAACAGAGGGAAACUUCUGAUAAUACUGGAUAAGUUAGUAUAUCGCAUGAUAUGCAAAAUGAAAGCUACGGCACUAAAGGAGAGCUUUGCGUCCUAUUAGCUAGUUGGUAAGGUAAGAGCUUACCAAGGCGAUGAUAGGUAGCCGGCCUGAGAGGGUGGACGGCCACAAGGGGACUGAGAUACGGCCCUUACUCCUACGGGAGGCAGCAGUA